CCUGUAUUGGGUACAUAUAUAUUUAGGAUAGUUAGCUCUUCUUGUUGCAUUGAUCCCUUUACCAUUAUGUAAUGGCCUUCUUUGUCCCUCUUGAUCUUUGUUGGUUUAAAGAAGUCUGUUUUAUCAGAAACUAGGAUUGCAACCCCUGCUUUUAUUUUUGCUUUUCAUUUGCUUGGUAAAUAUUCCUCCAUCCCUUUAUUUUGAGCAUGUGUGUGUCUUUGCAUGUGAGAUGCAUCUCCUGAAUACACCACACUGAUGGGUCUUGACUCUUUGUCCAGUUUGCCAGUCUAUGUCUUUUAAUUGGGGCAUUUAGCGCAUUUAUAUUUAAGGUUAAUGUUGUUAUGUGUGAAUUUGAUCCUGCCAUUAUGAUGCUGGCUGGUUAUUUUGCCCGUUAGUUGAUGCAGUUUCUUCAUACCGUCAAUGGCCUUUACAAUUUGGUAUGUUUUUGCAAUGGCUGGUACUGGUUGUUCAUUUCCAUGUUUAGUGCUUCCUUCAGGAACUCUUGUAAGGCAGGCCUGGUGGUGACAAACAUCUCAGCAUUUGCUUGUCUGUAAAGGACUUUAUUUCUCCUUUGCUUAUGAAGCUUGGUUUGGCUGGAUAUGAAAUUCUGGGUUGAAAAUUCUUUAAGAAUGUUGAAUAUGGGCCCCCACUCUCUUCUGGCUUGUAGAGUUUCUGCUGAGAGAUCCACUGUUACUCUGAUGGGCUCCCCUUUGUGGGUAACCCGACCUUUCUCUCUGGCCGCCCUUAACAUUUUUUCCUUCAUUUCAACUUUGGUGGAUCCGACAAUUAUGUGUCUUGGAGUUGCUCUUCUCAAGGAGUAUCUUGGUGGCGUUCUCUGUAUUUCCUGAAUUGAAUGUUGGCCUGCCUUGCUAGGUUGGGGAAGUUCUCCUAAAUAAUAUCCUGAAGAGUGUUUUCCAACUUGGUUCCAUUCUCCCUGUGGCUUUCAG
rnacentral:lncRNA from 1 species